GGGUGGAUGAUUGUGUUCGGUCUUCACACUAAAUGUGCCAGUAGUUGAUAGAAGAUGUAAAGAAGUGAACGUUAUUCCGUUGUCCCGUGCAGCAAGGCUCUCAGGAUAAAACUGCGUUUGAUGUGCAUCGCUUAAAUCUUUUCGCUAAAACCCGAGGAAUACAAACAGGACUUACCUCAAAUAUUAAUACUUUCGAGAAUUUAUAGACUCAUUUCGAAAUGGCGACCACUGCAAACGCAGUGGCUGUGGCAACAACACCGCCGACGGCUACAACCCCGACGACCAAUACCGCAACUACACCAGAUGAUAAAAGUUCACGUCAAUUUCCUAAGGCUGGCACACGAGCUCUUCUCAUUGAAAAGCAACCACAAAAACUAUAACUGACUUAAAUUAUGCAGUAACUUCGGAAACCAUUGUGAACAAUCCAAGAUUAGCAAAACAACUCAGCAUAGAUGGGAAAAAAAGUGAACCAAAGAAUUUUACCAUUAGAAAGAAAUUAUUGGAAUUUCAAAUAGGAAUUUGCAAC